AUUGAACGCUGGCGGCAUGCUUUACACAUGCAAGUCGAACGGUAACAGGCCGCAAGGUGCUGACGAGUGGCGAACGGGUGAGUAAUACAUCGGAACGUGCCCAGUCGUGGGGGAUAACGCAGCGAAAGCUGCGCUAAUACCGCAUACGAUCUCUGGAUGAAAGCGGGGGACCGAAAGGACUCGCGCGAUUGGAGCGGCCGAUGUCAGAUUAGGUAGUUGGUGGGGUAAAGGCCCACCAAGCCAACGAUCUGUAGCUGGUCUGAGAGGACGACCAGCCACACUGGGACUGAGACACGGCCCAGACUCCUACGGGAGGCAGCAGUGGGGAAUUUUGGACAAUGGGCGCAAGCCUGAUCCAGCAAUGCCGCGUGCAGGAAGAAGGCCUUCGGGUUGUAAACUGCUUUUGUACGGAACGAAACGGUCCGGGUUAAUACCCUGGGCUAAUGACGGUACCGUAAGAAUAAGCACCGGCUAACUACGUGCCAGCCGCCGCCGUAAGAC
rnacentral:rRNA from 1 species